GAUGAACGCUGGCGGCGUGCCUAAUACAUGCAAGUCGAGCGAACAGACGAGGAGCUUGCUCCGCUGACGUUAGCGGCGGACGGGUGAGUAACACGUGGAUAACCUACCUAUAAGACUGGGAUAACUUCGGGAAACCGGAGCUAAUACCGGAUAAUAUAUUGAACCGCAUGGUUCAAUAGUGAAAGACGGUUUUGCUGUCACUUAUAGAUGGAUCCGCGCCGCAUUAGCUAGUUGGUAAGGUAACGGCUUACCAAGGCAACGAUGCGUAGCCGACCUGAUUGGGUGAUAGGCCACACUGGAACUGAGACACGGUCCAGACUCCUACGGGAGGCAGCAGUAGGGAAUCUUCCGCAAUGGGCGAAAGCCUGACGGAGCAACGCCGCGUGAGUGAUGACGGUCUUCGGAUCGUAAAACUCUGUUAUUAGGGAAGAACAAAUGUGUAAGUAACUAUGCACGUCUUGACGGUACCUAAUCAGAAAGCCACGGCUAACUACGUG
rnacentral:rRNA from 1 species